UGCGCUAUUAAUAUGGUAGACAUAGCAACGAAUAUUCUUUAGAACAAACAGGGUAUUUGUUCUGUAAUCAGCUUACAGAUGACAAGUUCAAAUAAAGAGGUAAUCUGCUGACAGCUGAGCAUCACCUUGACCUCAGUAAUUUUUGGUAUUAAUUAAAUUACAUAUUUAGCAUGACUAUCUAAAAUAGUUUCUUUCUUUUCAGGCAACUUAAUUAAUACCAUCACACUCCUUAGCUAUACUGGCUGUUUGGGAUCUAGCAUUUCAAUGCAUUUCAUUCAUCUUCAUAGUUACUUUAAAGGAAUGUGAAAGGUGAGGGUGGCAAGAAGGCUGAUGAUGCUGUUUUACACCUAGAGGUCUUAUGGAACCAGGACUGCAUUUGUACGCGGAACAAACAACUUUGGGGGAUGGUUUAGUAAUUGCCUUUGGUAGGGCUUGUCUCACAUUCAUUAAAAACUCCAGGCAAGGCUGCUUCCUUGAUCUUUAUUUCUUUUCAGUUGCCAAGCAAACAAACAAAACUCCCUUCCUGAUAGUUACUUAGUUAUCUAACCUAGAAUGUCUUUGACUAAAGUCAACAUUUAGAGGUUAGAGGUUGGCAGACAUUUGGGUAAUUGCUGCAAUGGGUAACUAGUCUGCUUUUCUUGUUUUUAAAAACAUUUGAGAUACUAUAGAAUUUUAACCUUAUAUCACAUUAAGGUUUCGUUGUUAAAAAUAUUUAUUGUGUUCUCUCUUUGGUGAAUGAAAAAUAUCAUGUUGCCUAAUUAUCUUUGAUGUAGGAAAUGACUACAGCAUAAUUAAUAUAAAAGAUCAUGAUUUUAUUAUUUAGGAAAUUAAAAGGGAAUACUAAAUGUCUGUCUAGUUCAUAAUUACAGAUAUUGGAAACCAUCUAUCUUUUUUCCUCAUUUAGUUUUAUAACUAGAUCUGAAUUAAGGCUUAUAAAAGUGACAUUAUAUAUGAAGCCCACAGGUAUACACCUUGUAUAGAAUGUAGACAGCCAGUAUUCACUUUUCUGUGUCAAAGGAAUGCCCGUAAGAAUUGUUGGUAGGCGUCUAAAUGUGGAGGUAAGUAAUAAGCAGGUAUUGACUUCUGUUGAGAUCAAUAUCAAGAUUUGUUGACCCAAAGAAGUUAAAAUUGACUGAAGAGUGAGACAAUAAAUCUUGUUAUUGACUAGAAAGCAGAAGUCAAUAUAUGUAUUAUUAUAAACAUUUUUCUUUUGGUGUAGAUAGGGGUGGAGUCAUUUUUAAGACCUUAAAUGCAUAUGGCCAUAUGUUUUUUAUAUCAUGGUGGUGGCCAAUACAGGCUCCUUGGCUUAUUAAAACAGUGGCUAUUCACAUGACAUCAAUCACAUACCCGGUUCAUCAUUCGCCGUUUCAACCAUCUUUCUCCCUGCACUUUAGGCCCUCUUAUCCU
rnacentral:lncRNA from 1 species